UCCCCAAAAUUUUCGUCCCAGCGCCACAUUAAAGUCAUCCCUAAAAUUUUCAUCACCGCACUCUCAAAUCCCUAACCCCCUCGUCUUCGCCUUAUCCGACCCCGUCGAAGUCCGACCGUUGCCGCUGGCCAACGCACCUCAUCUUCGCCUCAUCUUCGUUCGUCGGGGCUCCCUCAUCUUCUCCGCGGGCCAUCAUACCCCCUCCUCCUCCCUCAUCUUCGCCGGCGCUCCUCCGCCUCCUCCUCCUCUGCUUCCAUCCAUCGGUUGUAUUAAGAAACUGAAUGACGAGUUAUCCAGCUUAUGUUGGUCUUGCUACAAUUGUACGGUUUGUCUGGUGGUUUGUUUAUUCUGAUGCCGGUCCCAGACUUCCAUAUAAAGAGUAGGUAUAAGAGGAAAGGCAUGAAAGAAUUACAAAAGAUGCUGCAUAAGUGCAAUGAGCAGCUACAUCAAUUUAGCCAUGUCAACAAAAAGGCUCUUGACCAGUAUAUGAACUUCACGGAGCAACUAGAACAAUUACAGAAAAGACAAGCGGAACUUGAUGCUGGGGAUUAGGUACAGAGUUUGACUACAUUGUAUGGCGCAGAAAAUUAAAGAACUCAUUUCAGUUCUGGACCAGCUAAAAGAUGAGUCCAUUGAGCGCACAUUUAAAGGUGUUGCAAGGCAUUUCUGGGAAGUAUUUUCGGAGUUUGUGCAAGGUGGCCAUGGUUACUUAGUUAUGAUGAAAAAAGGAUGGUGAUCGUGGUGAUGAUGAUCUUGAUGAGGAUGGGACUCGUGAUCCAGAUCCAGAGGGAAGAGUUG